GCCUGGUUAGCUCAAUCGGUAGAGCGUGAGACUCUUACGAGAGUAUACACCCAUCUCAAGGCUGCGGGUUCGACCCCCGCAUCGGGCU
rfam:Beauveria bassiana ARSEF 2860 unplaced genomic scaffold BBA_S00049, whole genome shotgun sequence.